GAUGGGCUGGCCUGGCUGGCGUGUGGCCCUCAGCUGGAGGCAGUGAGCGCUGUGCCGGGGGAGCGGCUCUCUGCACACCGUUUCAGUGGAGUCCGUGAGCAGCCUCCCACCGCCCGUGUGGUGCUGCACAAUGCCGUUUCGGGAACAGCUUUGGAGCGUCACUGUGUCGGGAGGUGUUUUCCCUGUAUUGCGUCACCACGCCGUCACGGCAGAGUCUCCAGUCGAGAGCACCUUGAUGUACAGUGGUGGGCUUAAAGGACCCAGGGGCUCACUUCUGAAUGGGAAGAAUAUGAAGAAGCCUUGGGGGGGAAAGUUGGCUGUUGUGUGAUCAAGGUUAUGAGUGUUGGAAUAAAGCCAAAGCUUCUCUGAGUUUUUGUUGUUGUGCCCUGACGAGUGCCCUUGAGUACGAGCGUGCUUGGUCCGUUGCUUUCCUUUUGCUUCCCGUC